UACGGCUCAGUAACACGUGGAUAACCUGCCCUUGGGUCCGGCAUAACCCCGGGAAACUGGGGAUAAUUCCGGAUAUCGCAUAUUUGCUGGAAUGCUUUAUGCGUCAAAUGGAUUCGUCUGCCCAAGGAUGGGUCUGCGGCCUAUCAGGUAGUAGUGGGUGUAAUGUACCUACUAGCCGACAACGGGUACGGGUUGUGAGAGCAAGAGCCCGGAGAUGGAUUCUGAGACAUGAAUCCAGGCCCUACGGGGCGCAGCAGGCGCGAAAACUUUACAAUGCGGGAAACCGUGAUAAGGGGACACCGAGUGCCAGCAUCAUAUGCUGGCUGUCCAGGUGUGUAAAAUACACCUGUUAGCAAGGGCCGGGCAAGACCGGUGCCAGCCGCCGCGGUAACACCGGCGGCCCGAGUGGUGAUCGUGAUUAUUGGGUCUAAAGGGUCCGUAGCCGGUUUGGUCAGUCCUCCGGGAAAUCUGAUAGCUCAACUAUUAGGCUUUCGGGGGAUACUGCCAGACUUGGAACCGGGAGAGGUAAGAGGUACUACAGGGGUAGGAGUGAAAUCUUGUAAUCCCUGUGGGACCACCUGUGGCGAAGGCGUCUUACCAGAACGGGUUCGACGGUGAGGGACGAAAGCUGGGGGCACGAACCGGAUUAGAUACCCGGGUAGUCCCAGCCGUAAACGAUGCUCGCUAGGUGUCAGGCAUGGCGCGACCGUGUCUGGUGCCGCAGGGAAGCCGUGAAGCGAGCCACCUGGGAAGUACGGCCGCAAGGCUGAAACUUAAAGGAAUUGGCGGGGGAGCACA
rnacentral:rRNA from 1 species